AGCCCCGGCCCAGGAGCGGCUGCCAGGAGCUGGUGACCGCGCUGCGCCGCCCGCCCGCCGCGCUCCGCCACCGGCUCCGGGCUGCCCCCCGCUGCUACCGGGGCAGGAGCGGGCCGCGGCUCCAGCCCCCCCCCCAACCCCGUCUCUUCAUCAUCAUCAUCAUAAUAAUAAUAACAGCAGCAGCAGCAUUGGUGGGAGCGCGGAGGGAGGAGGCGAAGGGGCUGCGGAGGAAUUUGGGUCCUUUUCCUUUUUUCCCCCUCUUUUUUUUUUUUUUUUCCUUGAUAUAUUCCCUUAAAAAAAAAAAAAGGGAAAAAAAAAAAAAGAAGGAAGAUGUUUUAAAAAUGCAAGCGGCUUGCCCAGCUGCACACACCCACCCUCGCCUCCCUCCCCCGGCUUGCGCACACCGCACGCUCGCACUCGCUCGCUCGACCGCGCUCGCUCGGGUGUCAAAACCCGGCGGGCACCCAGCCUGGUGCGGGCACUGCCCCUGGCCCUUCCCCUGCCCCGAGCCCGCCUGGGGGCCGCCGCUUCCCACUACCAACACCCCCCCCCCCCUUCUUCUUCCGCCUCCCCACCGCCGCGCUUUUCCUCCCUGCUCUUGGCGCUGAAGAUCGGAGCUUCCCCCGCUUCCAAAUGAGUACCCUGAGAGCGUAACAGUAACAGCUCGGUACAUUGGUGCUUGACCUCAGCUGAAAUCCCAGCAUGCCUCGUGCUUCCAAGUUUAAAACUGAACGAUUAAUCUUAGAAAUGUGCUCUAUGGACACACACAUGCCAAAAAAAAAAAAAAAAA
rnacentral:lncRNA from 1 species